rnacentral:rRNA from 1 species
CCUACGGGAGGCAGCAGUAGGGAAUUUUCGUCAAUGGGCGCAAGCCUGAACGAGCAAUGCCGCGUGAACGAGGAAGGUCUUCGGAUCGUAAAGUUCUGUUGAAGGGGAAAAAGAGCGGAGAGAGGAAAUGCUUUCUGAUUGAUAUUACCCUUCGAGGAAGUCACGGCUUACUACGUGCCAGCAGCCGCGGUAAUACGUAGGUGGCGGCCGUUAUCCGGAAUGAUGGGGCGUAAAGGUUGCGUAGGCGGCCUGCUAAGUCUGGGGUGAAAGGUACCGGCUCAACCGGUACAGGCUCUGGAAACUGGCGGGCUAGAGAGCAGGAGAGGGCGGUGGAACUCCAUGUGUAGCGGUAAAAUGCGUAGAUAUAUGGAAGAACACCAGUGGCGAAGGCGGCCGCCUGGCCUGUUACUGACGCUGAGGCACGAAAGCGUGGGGAGCAAAUAGGAUUAGAUACCCUUGUAGUC